GACGAGCCUCACGAACGUUAUUCGGAAUUACUGGGCUUAAAGGGUGCGUAGGCGGCGCGGAAAGUAGGGUGUGAAAUCCCUCGGCUCAACCGAGGAACUGCGCUCUAAACUACCGUGCUCGAGGGAGAUAGAGGUAAGCGGAACUUAGGGUGGAGCGGUGAAAUGCGUUGAUAUCCAUAGGAACUCCGGUGGCGAAGGCGGCGUGCUGGACCCUUUCUGACGCUGAGGCGCGAAAGCCAGGGGAGCAAACGGG
rnacentral:rRNA from 1 species